rfam:Oryza sativa (indica cultivar-group) chromosome 8, whole genome shotgun sequence.
UUUAAUUGUAAUCAUAAGUUUCUGCGCUCAACUUUAAUCGUUCAUCUUAUUUGAAAUUUUUUUUAUAAUUAUUAUUUUUGUUGUUAUGAGAUGAUAAAACAUGAAUAGUACUUUACUCGUCACUUAUGUUUUUAAAUUUUUUUCAAAAUUUUUUCAAAUAAGAGGAUGGUCAAAGUUGGGCGCGAAAAACUAUGGCUACACUUAAA